CAGCCGCGGUAAUUCCAGCUCUUCUAGCGUAUAUCGAAGUUGAUGCAGUUAAAAAGCUCGUAGUCGGAGAUGUGUGGGUUAUAAAGGGGAAAGAAUGGUUAGUAAAGGGAAACUYUUACUGACAACCCGCCCACUUCAUUGGAUUAUGAAAGUGCCARAGUUCGCUCUGGAUUACUUCUCUUCCACAUUUACUUUGAGGAAAUUAGAGUGUUCAUAGCAGUCGUCUUGACUGAAUAGUUUAGCAUGGGAUAAUAGAAUAUGGCAAUAUGCUUCUUCUAUGGUUCUUAAAAGCAAUUUAUUUUUGCAAUGAUUAAUGGGAGUGGAUGGGGCUGCCAGUAUUGCUGAGCUAGAGGUGAAAUUCUAUGAUUUCAGCAGGACUAACAAAUGCGAAAGCAUCCAGCCAGUACAUGUCCGUCGAUCAAGAACGAAGGGAGUGGUAUCGAAGAUGAUCAGAUACCGUCGUAGUCACUCCAGUAAACGAUGAUAACUCGGGGUAAUAAGAAUGUAACUUAAUAACUUGCAUCUUAUUGAACCGUAUGAGAAAUCAAAGUAUCUAUAUUUCCGGGGGGAGUAUGGCCGCAAGACUGAAACUUAAAGGAAUUGACGGAAGGGCACCACAAGGCGUGGAACCUGCGGCUUAAUUUGACUCAACACGGGAAAACUUACCAGGUCCAGACAUAGUAAGGAUUGACAGGUGGAAAGAUCUUUCUUGAUUCUGUGGGUGGUGGUGCAUGGCCGUUCUUAGUUGGUGGAAUGAUUUGUCUGUUUAAUUACGAUAACGAACGAGAUGAUCAUGAGAAAAUAGAAGGAUGAAUUGAAAGAUUCAUACCGAUUUCUUCUCUCUCAGAUUAAUGGAUUAAAGCCAUUUGAAAUGAUCGCAAUAACAGGUCU
rnacentral:rRNA from 1 species